GUCAUUUUCCAAUAACUACUGGGAUAAAUUUGUUAAAAGAAAGGUAAUGGAUAAAUAUGGAGAGUUUUAUGGGCGAGACAGAAUCAGUGAGUUACUGGGCAUGGAUAAGGCUGCACUGGAUUUCAGCGAUGCGAGAGAGAAGAAGAAGCCCAAGAAAGACAGCUCCUUGUCUGCUGUACUGAACUCUAUUGAUGUGAAGUACCAGAUGUGGAAACUCGGAGUUGUGUUCACAGACAACUCCUUCCUGUACCUAGCCUGGUAUGACCAUGUCUGUUCUGGGACACUAUAACAACUUUUUUUUUGCUGCUCACCUCCUUGACAUCGCGAUGGGAUUCAAGACCUUGAGAACCAUCCUGUCUUCAGUCACCCACAAUGGCAAGCAGCUCGUGUUAACUGUGGGCUUAUUAGCUGUUGUUGUGUACCUGUACACUGUCGUGGCAUUCAAUUUCUUCCGAAAAUUCUAUAAUAAGAGCGAAGAUGGUGAUACACCAGACAUGAAAUGUGAUGACAUGCUGACGGUAAGCUCCUGAACUUGCAGUAAAAACUACCUGACAACCUUCCAUCUGAGUAACUGUGUAUUUCCCCAUCCCCAGAGGCAGGAGUGGAGGCACCAGGUACAGUGAAAGUUUGAGUGGCUUCUCAAACUAGAGCAUUUUCAUUUUAGCAGCACAUAAAGGACCAUUGCUGUUGACUUCCCACCUGUGUUUGUUCAGCUUAGUAAUUAGUAGACUUGUGAGAAAUGUAGUUAGGAUUGGGAGACAUGCAAUCAUGUUAGCUCAUUACUCAUACAAGCCAGGACAGCAGGUAGAAUGUUCUCCUGCUCUGAAGCCUUGGCUUUGGGCUUGCCUUACUGACUUUACCUGGCAUUAUUAAAAUCCACACAAUAUGUAUUAACAGAACUGAUACUUUCGCUUUUAUACUGAGUAUCUUGUCUUAAAGGUCCUGGGCAAAAUUAACAGAUGUUUCAGCUUUCAUAUUGUUGUAUGUAACUAUUGUACAACCUGCUUCUCUGAUGAUGGUUCUGUUUCUGGGAUAAAAUAUCCUGGCCAAAAGUUACUUAGGGUAGAAAGAGUUUAUUCUGGUUUGCAGUUCUGGAAGGAUAGAGUCCAUCAUGACAGGGAAAAUGUGCGGCAGGAAGAGAAGUCAUGGAGGCAGGAGCAGGAGGCCGACUGGCCACGUUUCAUCCAUACUCAAGCAACAGAGAAUAGCAAGUUGAACUAGACAAUAUGACCACACAGCCCUUCCCCCAGUGACAUAUUUCCUCCAGCAAGGCUCUGCCUUCUGAAGUUCUGUAACUUCCCUGAACAGCACCACCAACUGGAGACUAGGUGUUCAAACACAUGAGCCUAUGGGGAACAUUUCAUAUGAAAAUCACAAAAAUGACUCUUCUAGAACACUUAGGUUUGGGAGGGGAAACUUAAGACAAAUGAACUGUUGCUGACUGGGGAGAGCAAGGUUUUUCUGUGAGCCCUUCACUGGGAUACCUGCACUGGGAUAUACUGGGUGUGUGUGAGUGUCAAGGGGGGCUGAUAGAAUGAUUCUGAAAUUCUCUCAGAAAGGAAAUGUCCUGGAAGAGUGACAGGAACAAGGUACCGAUACUGUGAUGAAUAACUGAAGUAUUUCUGUACCUCCUUUGGAAUAGAUUAGAGUGACUUGGAACACAUAUAAAUACCCACAGAAAUUAAACUAUGAUAAAGUUGCUUUUUACAAUCAUAAAAUGCAAAAAAAUUCAAUAAAUGGUAUUGACUCCAUGUACAAGCCCCUGAGGGGUGGUAGAAGUGAAGACCAGUGUUUUGAUUCAAUAACAACUAGGACAUGUUUGCAUUCUUAAAAUAAUGACAAACCUUGAUAAAAGGAUUUUCUAUUAAUGAUAUAAAACCUAGAAAGCCGUGAAAGCCAAAAAUUAUUAUUUUGUGACUAAUAAAUAUAAAUCAAGUCUUAUAGACAAAUGAUAAAUUGGCCAAAAUGUAUUCAACAUGAUAAGGAAGAGACAUUUUCCUUUACUGGCACAGUUCUCAUCACGCCCUUGAAAAGACAUAAGCCCAGGGCCGCAGUGGGGAAGGCACCUGCCUCCAAGCUUACAGCCACUCUGAGUUCAGUCCCCCAGGCCUGCAUGGUGGAAAGAGAGAUACCUGAAUGGUGUCCUCUGACCUCCACUCCCAUCCAUGCUCCCCCCCAUAAUAUACAAAUAAAAAGUAAUUUAAGUAAUUUAACAAUGUUAUAAGAAAGAAGGCAACACACAAAGGGUCAGUUAUGUAGCCAGAUAAUGCACAGUAGCAUUAAUUCCUUCAGCUCAUAAGUCUGAAAAGAUGUCCAACUAUUACUGCAAAGAAAGAAAUGUAGGCCAGAAUAACAGAAAACCACAGUUCAUUAUUAAGAAUAUUAAAGCUUGCAAUAACUCUAGUCAGUGGAUUGAUGGGGAAACUAGCACAUUCCUCUUACUGAGAAUGUGAAUUUAUACAACUAUAAAGAGAUUGUCCGAUAUGUAUCAAAGUCCAUUAGUCAUCAGUUAGUUGCUCUUAUCACGAGGCCCUGUGUGACUCUGUUCAACCUGUAGCCACCGCACCUGAGAUGACAUGGUUUUCACUCAAUCUCCAUACAUGUUUCCCUUCAUUUGUCUUAGGAGAACCACAGCCUCUCCUGCUUGGGCUUGUUUAGCAGUGCAGGAUGUGAAUCCAGAAGGCAGAGAGAUUUGUCUCCAUUUUACUUUUGCCUUGGCACUGCCAAGAUGCUCGAGAACAGCUUUAAGGUGUGAAUUGUGUAUCAUGGCCCACGGUGUCAGCGAGGUUAGCCAGUGGUGGUGAUGAAUGCAUGGUGGAGCAGAUCAGUUUGCAUCUCAGUGGCUAGGAAGCAGAGAGCAGUGGAUUCUGAAGGGCAAGAUAGCCUGAAGGACCUGUUACCAGAACCUACUUUCUCCAUCAAGGCCCCACCUCUUACUCUCACUAUAUCCCAGUAAUGCCAUCUAUUAUGUUCAGAUUCAUCCAAGGAUUCCUUCAUUCCUUCUAUCAGAGCCCUGAUGACCCACUUAUCUCUGAAAAUACCCUUGUGGAUAAUUACUAAUAUCUUAGGUGCGUCUUUAUCCAACCAAGCUGACAAGCACGCUUAACCAUCACAGUCUCAUUUUAGGAUAAGGAAGUGGGCUCUUUACUUCCCUAGAGCCUGGACAUCAUCAGUUUGACCGACUUCUGUGAGUCAUUAGUAAGACCAUUGGUGACGAUCUGU